UUGGCUACUUGGAGACAUGACACAUGAGGAGAGAAGGGGGAUGUCACCCAACAUCUACAGCCCGACCCAGGGCAGGCAGAGUGGUGGUCCCAAGGGGCCUUGGCAUCUAUCUAGAAGAGCCACAAUGGAACCAGAUAAAGAGAAAAACUCCAUUGCUGGCAGCUGGAGCCCCCGGAGCCACAGCAGAGAAGGAGGAGCGUCCCUGAGUGUCAGCUCAGACCCCUUCUCAGACUCCAGCACCCCCGCCUGCUCUGAGUUCAGUCCCAUCUAUUUCUUCUGAACCCCGACCUGUCAGGGCUCUGGGGAGGAGACUGCCGGUGCCAAGGCCACAUCGGGCAGCCGGAGAAGAAAGGUUUGCAGCGAGCCUGGCCUGGGGAAACCCGCCUUCUCCCUCAGCAGUCGCCAGGAGCCAUCACCCACGCUGUAGAGCACCGUGGUCAUCCGAUUGACCGUGUAGACCGUGUCCCCUCUGACCACGGCUGUAAAAAGCGCCCCCUUGCUAUUGACGAACUGGCCCGGGAGGGCCGUCCACUGCCCUGUGGCCAGGUUCAGGCAGUCGAUGGCGCAGUGAAGAAAGUCAUCGGAGGGCCCGUUACGGACCACGUAGAGGCUGUCUCGAUGGGCCACCAUGCAGUGGCCGUAGCUCUGAGGCCUCCUUAGGGAGGCCACGGGAAGCCAGGAGUCAGCCCCGGGCUUAUACUCGUACACCGCGGUGGUGUCGGCGGGCUGCCACAGACAGAUGAAGAGACGGCCGAGGGCUUGGGCACAAGGGACGCCGGCGGCGGGCUGGGGGAUGUCUGCUAUGAAGGUCCAGCAGCCAGAGGCAAAGUCGUACCUCUCCACUGACCUCAGGGGCACCCUCUGGAACUCUCCGCCGAUAGCGUAGAGGCUGCCCUCGUAGCCCACCAGAGCCACGUCAUAGCGAGCCUGGUGGGGGCUGGGGAACUCAUGCCAGGUCCCCCGGUCUGCGUCGUAGCAGAAACCCGGCUCCACGACUUCCUUGUUGGCCCCCCGGACGCCCCCCACGAUGUACAGCUUGUUCUCCAGGGUGGUGACUCCGGCCAGCAAGGUGCUGGCCUCCACGGGCAGGGACGACAGAGUCCGCCACACGUCGUCCUUCUCGUCCAGGGUCGUCAGGAGGCUCAGAGGAGAGGGAUAUCAUGUAAAGCGCCCUGUUGUUCAUCCUUCCUCUUGGAAGAGGACCUCACAGGGUGACAUCUUCCCUUGAGAGCGAAUUGGAUUUAAGAAGGGCAGAGCCGCACAAAGUCAUCAGCCCAGCUCUCUCUUCAAGAAUCAUCCAGGACCAGGGGCAGGGCAAAAGUCAAGAUGAUGGCUGAUGAUCCAGAAUGCAGUGGAUGACCUUGGCAUCUCUGAUGUCCAACCAAGCUCUGAGUGCUCCACAGUGCCUUCAUAGUCUUGGAGCAAAUUGUUCUCAUCUGUCACAUACAGAUGUCUAUCAUCAUCAUCAUUAUUACCUAGAAAUAUGCCUACAGUGGAGAAGGGCAAAUCACCAGACUAUCACAGUUUAACAAAAAUCCUAUAGGAAAAUCUAAUUCCUUUAGCUUUCUCUUUAUGCUCUGGGGGACCACUGGUUCUGGAGUCAGAAGACUUGAGUUUGAAACUCAUCUCUAAAUGGUCACUAGCUUUGUGACCUUGAAUAAGUCACUUAACCUCUACUGGCCUCAUUAUUUUUCUUUCUAAAUAAGGGAGUUGAACUAAAUACACUCUGAAUUCCCUUCCAACUCUAGACCCAUAAGUCUAAAUGUGCUCUCCUGGGGGGACAUCAGGCAGCUUGGGCAAUUAAGUGGCAUGGUGUUUAGAGUGUAAGGUUAGGGGUCAAGAAGAAUCAUCUUUCUGAGUUCAAAACUGGCCUCAGAACUUACUGGUUGUGUGAUCCUGGGUAAGUCACUUAACUCUCUGUCUCAGUUUCCUCAUCUGCAAAAUGAGCUGGGGAAGAAAACAGCAAUUGUUGGUCAUGAUUAAACAAUGAUAAGAGGGGGCAUCUUUUUUAGAAGAGAGUCACUACCAUGGCAUAUAACUGUGGUGGUGAACCUAAGGCACAUAUGCCAGAAGGGACACUCAGAGCUCUCUCUUGGGGGCAUACCUGCUAUUGCCCCAGCACAGAGUUUGCCAGAGUUCAUUACUAGAAAACCAGAGGGACAUGGGGCUGGGCUACUCCCCUCCCCUUCCCCAUGCAUGCCUUAGGAUGUCAUCUACCCUUCUAAAAGGUUUGCCAUCACUGGCAUAUAAUGAGGAUUAUUAAUAUUAUUAGCCAUCUCCCAUCUAUCUAUCUCUCAUUAAAAUUUGUUAAAUUGGGGGUAGCUAGGUGGCUCAGUGGAUUGAAAGCCAGACCUUGAGAUAGGAGGUCUUGGGUUCAAAUCUGACCUCAAACACUUCCUAGCUGUGUGGCCCUGGGCAAGUCAUUUAACCCCAAUUGCCUACCCCUUACCAGUUUUAUGCCUUGGAUGCAAUUCACAGUAUUGAUUCUAAGAUGGAAGGCAAGAGCUUUUUUUUUUUAACUUAUUAAAUUUUCCUUCUGGUUUAGAAAUCAUUAUUUGGUGAACAUAGGGGGUUUAAGUCAAUGCACAAUGCCUGAGCACUUCUGGGCGAAUUGAUAAAUAUCUCAUUUCUACCCUUCUAAAAGGAUCAGGAUGAUCCUGUGUGAAUCUUAAAAACUACUCAGACUGUACUUUAGAAGAUUUUAUUUAGUUAUUCCCUUAUUGUAACAAUGGAGAUACUUGGUCUAACAAGAAUCAGGAAUGUAUUGGGAACUUUUAAAAUUACUCCACCCUAAUUAGACAUACUUUAGGGGAAAAUAAAGUUGUAAACUCCUGAUUGAACA
ensembl:lncRNA